rnacentral:lncRNA from 1 species
GUCCGUCUCCCGUGGAGGCGUGAAGCGGUCCCGCGGACAGAGAUCCAUGUCUGUGCCCGCGCGUGUGUGUGCGUGUGUAAAUUGCCGAGAGGGGGAAAAUCGCAGGACUUCUGCCAGUGCCGGACUGAAAAUUGUAAUUCAUCUGCCGCCGCCGCUGCCUUUUUUUUCUCGUGCUCUUGAGCUCUCCGGUCGGGAUUCCUGCGGAUUGACAUUUCUGUGAAGGAGAAGUCUGGGAAUCAAACUGGAAAUUCUCCUCAUUUGUCCCCACCGCACCCCACCCCCGACUCCUGAUUCAUUUGGAAGUUUCAGAGCAGCUCUACCUGGAGAGUUCUGGAGAUCGAUGGAAUCUUUGCCUUACGCAUUUGUUUUGUUUUCACAAAAAAGGAAACUUGACAGAGGAUCAUGCUGUCCUUAAAAAAUACAAGUAAGUUCUUUGCACAGGAAAUGGGUUUAAUGUAACUUUCAAUGGAACACCUUUGAGAUUUUGACUUUAAGUGCGUUCGAGUGAGUUGAAUUUCCAGGCAGUUUAAUACAUUCUUGUCAGCCGUGUAACUUGCAGUGUAUGCCCGGCUUCCACCCAGUGUUUAAAAGGAAAGUGCACCUGAUUUUGACUUAGUUUUGUGUUGUUUUUUUUUUUUAACCUUUCAGCAUCACAGAGGAAGUAGACUGAUAUUAACAAUAAUUAAUAAUAAUGUGCCUCAUGCAAUAAAGAUCCGAAAGGAAUUUAAGUAAAAAUUUCCUGCAUCUCAUGCCAAGAGGGAAACACCAGAAUCAAGUGUUCCGCGUGACUGAAGACACCCCCUCAUCCAAG